AGUGAACGCUGGCGGUAGGCCUAACACAUGCAAGUCGAACGGCAGCACAGUAAGAGCUUGCUCUUACGGGUGGCGAGUGGCGGACGGGUGAGGAAUACAUCGGAAUCUACUUUUUCGUGGGGGAUAACGUAGGGAAACUUACGCUAAUACCGCAUACGACCUACGGGUGAAAGCAGGGGAUCUUCGGACCUUGCGCGAUUGAAUGAGCCGAUGUCGGAUUAGCUAGUUGGCGGGGUAAAGGCCCACCAAGGCGACGAUCCGUAGCUGGUCUGAGAGGAUGAUCAGCCACACUGGAACUGAGCCACGGUCCAGACUCCUACGGGAGGCAGCAGUGGGGAAUAUUGGACAAUGGGCGCAUGCCUGAUCCAGCCAUACCGCGUGGGUGAAGAAGGCCUUCGGGUUGUAAAGCCCUUUUGUUGGGAAAGAAAAGCAGCAGGUUAAUACCCCGCUGUUCUGACGGUACCCAAAGAAUAAGCACCGGCUAACUUCGUG
rnacentral:rRNA from 1 species